rnacentral:rRNA from 1 species
UACGUAGGGACCAAGCGUUGCUCGGAUUUACUGGGCGUAAAGCGCGCGUAGGCGGUCUUUCAUGUCAUCUGUGAAAUCUCCGGGCUUAACUCGGAACGGGCAGAUGAUACUGCUUUGCUAGAGUGCGGAAGGGGCAAUCGGAAUUCUUGGUGUAGCGGUGAAAUGCGUAGAUAUCAAGAGGAACACCUGAGGUGAAGGCGGGUUGCUGGGCUGACACUGACGCUGAGGCGCGAAAGCUAGGGGAGCAAACGGG